rnacentral:tRNA from 1 species
GGAAGGGUCGCAUAGUCUGGCCUAGUGCGCGCGACUGGAAAUCGCGUAAGCGGUUAUACCGCUUCGAGGGUUCGAAUCCCUCCCCUUCCG